rnacentral:rRNA from 1 species
GAUCCUGGCUCAGAUUGAACGCUGGCGGCAGGCCUAACACAUGCAAGUCGAGCGGUAGCACAGAGUAGCUUGCUCUCGGUGACGAGCGGCGGACGGGUGAGUAAUGUCUGGGAAACUGCCUGAUGGAGGGGGAUAACUACUGGAAACGGUAGCUAAUACCGCAUAAUGUCGCAAGACCAAAGGUGGGGACCUUCGGGCCUCAUGCCAUCUAGAUGUGCCCAGAUGGGUA